GUGAGGAAUAUUGGUCAAUGGGCGGGAGCCUGAACCAGUCAAGUCGCGUGAAGGAAGAAGGAUCUAUGGUUCGUAAACUUCUUUUGCAGGGGAAUAAAGUGCAGGACGUGUCCUGUUUUGUAUGUACCCUGAGAAUAAGGAUCGGCUAACUCCGUGCCAGCAGCCGCGGUAAUACGGAGGAUCCGAGCGUUAUCCGGAUUUAUUGGGUUUAAAGGGUGCGUAGGUGGUUUGAUAAGUCAGCGGUGAAAGUUUGCAGCUUAACUGUAAAAAUGCCGUUGAAACUGUCGGACUUGAGUGUAAAUGAGGUAGGCGGAAUGCGUGGUGUAGCGGUGAAAUGCAUAGAUAUCACGCAGAACUCCGAUUGCGAAGGCAGCUUACUAAGCUACAACUGACACUGAAGCACGAAAGCGUGGGGAUCAAACAGGAUUAGAUACCCGUGUAGUCC
rnacentral:rRNA from 1 species